AAGGCGAAGGAGCAGCGAGAGGCCGCCGAAAUCGCCCUGAGCAGAGUGAGACUGGAGGAAUUCGAGGCGUUGUAACAUCCAAAGCGGUGCGAAAUGGAUCAGGGCUGAA
rnacentral:SRP_RNA from 1 species